CUCCUCGUGGCCCAUGGACAGAAUUUGAUUUGAACCCAGCGUGGAUAAAUUGGAAGCAGUUGUGGAGGGCACACAACACACCCAGACUGUCUACCAGAAUCAGAGAGAGUCUCAAAUUCCAAAGAUGUUUCUUCAGCAAAUACCGAAAGUCUUCUUAAAGAAAUUCUUGUAUCCAAGAUCUCGGUAUAAACAACUCCAUCAUUGGCUUAUGCUGCUGGAAUUCUAGAAACACAAAGUUCAGCUUGGAGAACCCACAAGAGCACUGGAGUUUCUCAGACGAACAUGAAUGACAGGCAACUUACAGAAACAUGGGUGACACAGGGUGGUUGUGUUUCUGAAAGGCCCACCCCAGCAUCCACAGAGCUUCUGUCACUGCUUGGGGUCAGCUCCACUUGAUUCCUCCCCAGAAGGUAAAUAACCUGUGAGAGAAGUUAAAUGAGCUGCAUGUUCUGGAGCUGCUGAUGAGUUCACGUCUCUUCGCCAAUGUUCUAAAGAACAAUGGAUCACACACUUAAGAGAUGGUGAGAGUUCUGUUACAUACACAAUAAAGCUAUUUUGACAGUGGAUGUGUCACCAUUCGUAACUCAAAGAAGAAAGCCACAUCUGCCUUCAACCAGAUAUUGUCACGUGAAAAGAUAGAUUUGAGAAUUUCACAGCAGUAGGACCC